GACGAACGCUGGCGGCGUGCUUAACACAUGCAAGUCGAACGGAAAGGCCCUGCUUUUGUGGGGUGCUCGAGUGGCGAACGGGUGAGUAACACGUGAGUAACCUGCCCUUGACUUUGGGAUAACUUCAGGAAACUGGGGCUAAUACCGGUUAGGAGCUCCUGCUGCAUGGUGGGUGUUGGAAAGUUUCGGCGGUUGGGGAUGGACUCGCGGCUUAUCAGCUUGUUGGUGGGGGAGUGGCUUACCAAGGCUUUGACGGGUAGCCGGCCUGAGAGGGUGACCGGCCACAUUGGGACUGAGAUACGGCCCAGACUCCUACGGGAGGCAGCAGUGGGGAAUAUUGCACAAUGGGCGGAAGCCUGAUGCAGCAACGCCGCGUGCGGGAUGACGGACUUCGGGUUGUAAACCGCUUUCGCCUGUGACGAAGCGUGAGUGACGGUAAUGGGUAAAGAAGCACCGGCUAACUACGUG
rnacentral:rRNA from 1 species